rnacentral:lncRNA from 1 species
AAUGUAUGGCAAAAACCACAAUAUUGUAAAGUAACUAGCCUCCAAUUAAAAAAAAAGAUGAAAAAAAAAUGAAAAUGAGGUCAUUAGUGUGGGUCCUAAUCUAGUGAUUGGUGUCCACAUAAAAGGGGCAAUUUGGAGACACAUCUACAGAAAGAACGGUGUGUGAACCCAAGCACAGCUGUCUCUGCGCCAAGGAGAGCAGCCUGGGAUGGCUCCUCUGACAACUCAGAAGAACCAAUUCUGCCGAUGCCCUGAUUUCAGACCUCUAGCUUCCAGAACUGUGAGACUUUAAUUUUCUGUUGCUGAAGUUACUUAAUUUGUGCUGCUUUGUUACAGCAGCCUAUCCAAUGAAUACAAUUAGGAGCAAGUUGGCUCUUUGAAGGCACUGGUAGCAUCCUGAUAGCAUGGAAUUGUCGUGGAGAGGUGAGGCAUAGAUGUUUCCAGCCAUUCUGGAAACAGAAGUGGAUCGCAUCUGGAAUUCCACUCUUUGGGUAAACAUGAGCUGGGAUUCCAGAAAGUGUUUACAAGGUUCAUUUCCCUUAGACGAGGGAGAAAGGUGACUCAUACUGUGGUAUUAAAUAAUGACAGUAAUAUGUAUUUUCAAGGACUAGGAAUACACCAAAACAAGUAGGUUGUGUGAAAUGGCCAGCCUGAAUCAUCGGAUCCUUUUUAAAGAAAUAAAAACAUUUAGCACACACAAUAACUGAAGCAGGGUAAAUGAUUUGGCUCCUAGUAGAAACUGCUAAAUCACUUAUGUUCAUGACUGAGCAGAAAAUUAUUUUAUACAAAUGUGGUAUUCUGUUUAGAGGUGAAGAUCUUCUUCAAGUGAUGUUUCCUAGUGAGGGCUUCAAUAGUCUAGUUAUUUUUAUAAAAAUGUUUAGCCAGCUUUUAAUUUUAUUUUAUUUAAAACAGGUAUUUUUCAAACUGCUAUAUAGGGAACAUGGUUCCAAGCUAUGAAAAUGCAUCGCCUUUCUUAUAUUAGAUGCACUGAAUGAUCCGCCAUCAGUCUUGUGACUUUGUUGCUGUUCAGGCACUCACCCGCGUCUGCCUCUUUCUGACCCUGUGGGCUGCAGCACACUAGGCUUCCCUGUCCUUCCCUAUCU